CGGCAGGCUUAACACAUGCAAGUCGAGGGGCAGCGGGGAGGAAGCUUGCUUUCUCCGCCGGCGACCGGCGCACGGGUGAGUAACACGUAUGCAACCUGCCCCUGUCAGGGGGACAACCCGCCGAAAGGCGGGCUAAACCCGCGUACAUGCCACCGGGGCAUCCCGGAGGCAGGAAAGGCUUCGGCCGGACAGGGAUGGGCAUGCGGCGCAUUAGGCAGUAGGCGGGGUAACGGCCCACCUAACCGACGAUGCGUAGGGGUUCUGAGAGGAAGGUCCCCCACACUGGUACUGAGACACGGACCAGACUCCUACGGGAGGCAGCAGUGAGGAAUAUUGGUCAAUGGUCGGGAGACUGAACCAGCCAAGCCGCGUGAGGGAGGAAGGUACAGAGUAUCGUAAACCUCUUUUGUCAGGGAACAAAGGCGGGGACGUGUCCCCGGAUGAGUGUACCUGAAGAAAAAGCAUCGGCUAACUCCGUGCCAGCAGCCGCGGUAAUACGGAGGAUGCGAGCGUUAUCCGGAUUUAUUGGGUUUAAAGGGUGCGCAGGCGGUCUGUUAAGUCAGCGGUCAAAGCCCGGGGCUCAACCCCGGCCCGCCGUUGAAACUGGCAGUCUCGAGUUGGAGAGAAGUAUGCGGAAUGCGCGGUGUAGCGGUGAAAUGCAUAGAUAUCGCGCAGAACUCCGAUUGCGAAGGCAGCAUGCCGGCUCCACACUGACGCUGAGGCACGAAAGCGUGGGUAUCGAACAGGAUUAGAUACCCUGGUAGUCCACGCAGUAAACGAUGAAUGCUGGCUGUCCGGGGGGAUUGACCCCUGGGUGGCGAAGCGAAAGCGAUAAGCAUUCCACCUGGGGAGUACGCCGGCAACGGUGAAACUCAAAGGAAUUGACGGGGGCCCGCACAAGCGGAGGAACAUGUGGUUUAAUUCGAUGAUACGCGAGGAACCUUACCCGGGCUCAAACGGGGAGUGACUCAGGCAGAGACGCCUGUUUCCCACGGGACACUCCCCGAGGUGCUGCAUGGUUGUCGUCAGCUCGUGCCGUGAGGUGUCGGCUUAAGUGCCAUAACGAGCGCAACCCCCGCGUGCAGUUGCUAACAGAUAACGCUGAGGACUCUGCACGGACUGCCGGCGCAAGCCGCGAGGAAGGCGGGGAUGACGUCAAAUCAGCACGGCCCUUACGUCCGGGGCGACACACGUGUUACAAUGGGUGGUACAGCGGGAAGCCAGGCGGCGACGCCGAGCGGAACCCGAAAUCCACUCUCAGUUCGGAUCGGAGUCUGCAACCCGACUCCGUGAAGCUGGAUUCGCUAGUAAUCGCGCAUCAGCCAUGGCGCGGUGAAUACGUUCCCGGGC
rnacentral:rRNA from 1 species